rnacentral:misc_RNA from 1 species
UCCGGUUUGUCACCGGCAGUCUCCCUAGAGUGCCCUUGCGUAGCAACUAAGUACGAGGGUUGCGCUCGUUGCGGGACUUAACCCAACACCUCACGGCACGAGCUGACGACAGCCAUGCAGCACCUGAACCAGCGGUCCCCGAAGGGAAAAUCCUAUUUCUAGGACGGUCCACUGUUGUCUAGCCCAGGUAAGGUUCUUCGCGUUGCGUCGAAUUGAACCACAUGCUCCACCGCUUGUGCGGGCCCCCGUCAAUUCCUUUGAGUUUCAAUCUUGCGAUCGUACUUCCCAGGUGGGAUACUUAAUGCUUUCGCUCAGACACUUGCAGUGUAUCGCAAAUGUCGAGUAUCCAUAGUUUAGGGCGUGGACUAC